AAAAAUUUUUUUUUUUUUCUGCUCAGGACGAACGCUGGCGGCGUGCGUAAUACAUGCAAGUCGAACGCACUGACGUCGACCGAAGCUGCUUGCAGUGGACGUUGAUUGACGUGAGUGGCGGACGGGUGAGUAACACGUGGGUAACCUACCCUUAAGUGGGGGAUAACAUUUGGAAACAGAUGCUAAUACCGCAUAACCAUUCAGACCACAUGGUCUGAAUGUAAAAGACGGCCUUUGGCUGUCACUUUUGGACGGACCCGCGGCGUAUUAGUUAGUUGGUAAGGUAACGGCUUACCAAGACAAUGAUACGUAGCCGACCUGAGAGGGUAAUCGGCCACAUUGGGACUGAGACACGGCCCAAACUCCUACGGGAGGCAGCAGUAGGGAAUCUUCCACAAUGGACGAAAGUCUGAUGGAGCAACGCCGCGUGAGUGAAGAAGGUUUUAGGAUCGUAAAACUCUGUUGUUGGAGAAGAACAGGGACUAGAGUAACUGUUAGUCCUUUGACGGUAUCCAACCAGAAAGCCACGGCUAACUACGUGCCAGCAGCCGCGGUAAUACGUAGGUGGCAAGCGUUGUCCGGAUUUAUUGGGCGUAAAGCGAGCGCAGGCGGUUUUUUAAGUCUGAUGUGAAAGCCUUCGGCUUAACCGAAGAAGUGCAUUAGAAACUGGGAAACUUGAGUGCAGAAGAGGACAGUGGAACUCCAUGUGUAGCGGUGAAAUGCGUAGAUAUAUGGAAGAACACCAGUGGCGAAGGCGGCUGUCUGGUCUGUAACUGACGCUGAGGCUCGAAAGUAUGGGGAGCGAACAGGAUUAGAUACCCUGGUAGUCCAUACCGUAAACGAUGAAUGCUAAGUGUUGGAGGGUUUCCGCCCUUCAGUGCUGCAGCUAACGCAUAAGCAUCCCGCCCGG
rnacentral:rRNA from 2 species